rnacentral:rRNA from 1 species
GUUGUAUGGUUAAGUGACUAAGCGUACACGGUGGAUGCCUUGGCAGUCAGAGGCGAUGAAAGACGUAGUAACUUGCGAUAAGCCCAGAUUAGGUAGUAACAACCAUUUGAGUCUGGGAUUUCUGAAUGGGGAAACCCACGUGCAUAAGCACGUAUCAUUAACUGAAUACAUAGGUUAAUGAGGCGAACCGGGGGAACUGAAACAUCUAAGUACCCCGAGGAAAAGAAAUCAACCGAGAUUCCGAAAGUAGCGGCGAGCGAAAUUGGACUAGCCCUUAAGCUUUACACGCGUUAGACGAACGGUCUGGAAAGUCCGACGAUACAGGGUGAUAGUCCCGUAGUUGACGACGUGUGUUCAGUGAAAUCGAGUAGGGCGGGACACGUGAUAUCCUGUCUGAAUAUGGGGGGACCAUCCUCCAAGGCUAAAUACUACUGACUGACCGAUAGUGAACCAGUACCGUGAGGGAAAGGCGAAAAGAACCCCUGUGAGGGGAGUGAAAUAGAACCUGAA